rnacentral:rRNA from 1 species
AUUGAACGCUGGCGGUAGGCCUAACACAUGCAAGUCGAACGGCAGCACAGGAGAGCUUGCUCUCUGGGUGGCGAGUGGCGGACGGGUGAGGAAUACAUCGGAAUCUACUUUUUCGUGGGGGAUAACGUAGGGAAACUUACGCUAAUACCGCAUACGACCUACGGGUGAAAGCAGGGGAUCUUCGGACCUUGCGCGAUUGAAUGAGCCGAUGUCGGAUUAGCUAGUUGGCGGGGUAAAGGCCCACCAAGGCGACGAUCCGUAGCUGGUCUGAGAGGAUGAUCAGGCACACUGGAACUGAGACACGGUCCAGACUCCUACGGGAGGCAGCAGUGGGGAAUAUUGGACAAUGGGCGCAAGCCUGAUCCAGCCAUACCGCGUGGGUGAAGAAGGCCUUCGGGUUGUAAAGCCCUUUUGUUGGGAAAGAGAUCCAGCUGGUUAAUACCCGGUUGGGAUGACGGUACCCAAAGAAUAAGCACCGGCUAACUUCGUGCCAGCAGCCGCCGCAG